rnacentral:rRNA from 1 species
UGGGGGAUAUUGCACAAUGGGGGAAACCCUGAUGCAGCGACGCCGCGUGAGUGAAGAAGUAUUUCGGUAUGUAAAGCUCUAUCAGCAGGGAAGAAAGACCCGCAAGGGGGAUGACGGUACCUGAGUAAGAAGCCCCGGCUAACUACGUGCCAGCAGCCGCGGUAAUACGUAGGGGGCAAGCGUUAUCCGGAUUUACUGGGUGUAAAGGGAGCGCAGACGGUUAUGCAAGUCUGGAGUGAAAACCCACAGCUCAACUGUGGGCUUGCUUUGGAAACUGUGUAACUGGAGUACUGGAGAGGUAAGCGGAAUUCCUAGUGUAGCGGUGAAAUGCGUAGAUAUUAGGAGGAACACCGGUGGCGAAGGCGGCUUACUGGACAGCAACUGACGUUGAGGCUCGAAG